UACGUAGGGUGCAAGCGUUAAUCGGAAUUACUGGGCGUAAAGCGUGCGCAGGCGGUUAGGUAAGACAGUUGUGAAAUCCCCGGGCUCAACCUGGGAAUUGCAUCUGUGACUGCAUAGCUAGAGUACGGUAGAGGGGGAUGGAAUUCCGCGUGUAGCAGUGAAAUGCGUAGAUAUGCGGAGGAACACCGAUGGCGAAGGCAAUCCCCUGGACCUGUACUGACGCUCAUGCACGAAAGCGUGGGGAGCAAACAGG
rnacentral:rRNA from 1 species